UACUUGUAGCACGGGAGCUUUCGAGCUGAGAGGAAGCAAAACGCUUCGACCGUUACACCUGAUCCAGGUAAUGCUGGCGCAGGAAGCUGGUUCUCCUGUGCA
rnacentral:ncRNA from 2 species